GUUUGGUUGGCUCGACUGAUUCCACCUGAAAGCAUUGUCAGCCCAUGUGGUUCUCAUGUUCUUGAUACUACCAAGCUGAAAUCUGAAGAGUGGUGGAAACUGUGGCAGCCCAGUCUUUGAAGGGGAGGCCCCAGUAACUGACUCACCGAAGCUGCUGGUCAGAUGAAGACUAUUAUAAAGAUCUACAGCUGUUUAAAAUGCAGAAAAUAAGGAGCCAUAGAAUGCCCAACAUCCAGUGGAUGUCUACAGUGCAAAUAUCUCAAUGUUAGGAGCAUCAUGGAAGAAGGGAUGGAAAAGUUUCUUCAAAGAGUCCUGAAAUUAAAGGUGUGUACCACCACUCCCUGGCUCUAUGGCUUGCUAGUAUUGCUGCUGGGAUUAAAAUUGUGUAUCACUCCUGUCUGACUUCAAUGGCUUGUGGAUAGCUUUGCAUUCUGAACCCUCAGAUCACAGGAAAAUUCUGAAGACUGGAGUAAUUACAUGAACAAUGGUGAAUAUACAUUGCCAACAGGAUGUGCAUGUCAAGAUUCUGAACCCAAUGCAGGAAUAACAAUUUACAAGGCCAACCUUCUACAAGAACUAAUCAGCACAAUACAAAUCAAGACUGUUCCUCUCUGAAGACUACUAUAUUAUGUAGUAUGGUUAAGUAAGAAAUUUUUUUUGGUUUUUCGAGACAGGGUUUCUCUGUAGCUUUGGAGGCUGUCCUGGAACUCACUUUGUAGACCAGGCUGACCUCGAACUUACAGAGAUCCGCCUGCCUCUGCCUCCUGAGCGCUGGGAUUAAAGGCGUGCGCCACCAACACCCAGCUAAGUAAGAUUUCAAAGCACAUAGUUGUAUUUACUUUGAUCUGGAGAAGAAGGGAGACAAGAGGUACUAUGAGGGGAGUCUGGGAGUGAAACAUGAGGAAUGGAGGGAGGAGAGGUUGGGGUUGAACUGUGAGGGUUGGGGCGUGGAGGCUGUAGUCUGUAUGUAUUGAAUAAGAGAAGAAUAAAUAUGAAAAAAGGAAAAA